AUGACUUCAUCAGCUCUUCUGAUCUGGAUGGUAGUGUGCCUUAUGCAUGACUGCUGUUGUCAGAUUGUUCUGACUCAGUCUCCAUCAGCCGGGUCUGUCAGUUUAGGACAAAGAGUGUCCAUCAGCUGUAAUACGUCUAGCCGCGUUGACGGUGAAGUAAACUGGUACCUUCAGAAACCCAGCCAGGCUCCACAGGUUCUAAUAUGGGAGGGUACUUACCGGCAGUCAGGGAUUCCAGAAAGGUUCAGUGGCCAGUACUCUGGAACCAGCUUCACCCUAACCAUCAGUUCCUUCCAGCCUGAAGAUGCAGGACAUUACUACUGUCAGCAGGACUAUAACUUUCCUUUCACACAAUGA